GAGUAAUAGUCAACAAAAUCUCAGGUAAGGUACUAAAGUUCUUACAAAAACCAGUUGCAUUUACUUAAUCAUGUCAGAAAAAAUAAGCGUUUCUGUCCCUGAGGGGAGGCACCUCAAACAAUUAAUUUUGGAAGGGCCAUAAAAUGUGCCAACCACUCCAAAUGUUAACACAGCGCUAUACAAUACAAACUGAGUAGUAAUGCAGAAUAGAAAGUUUAGAAUUUUAU
rnacentral:misc_RNA from 1 species